UACGUAGGGGGCAAGCGUUGUCCGGAUUUAUUGGGCGUAAAGAGCUCGUAGGCGGUUCCGUAAGUCGUGAAGUCAAAUCUCUGGGCUCAACCCAGAAUCGCUUCCGAUACUGCGGUGACUGGAGUCCGGUAGGGGAGUGUGGAAUUCCUGGUGUAGCGGUGAAAUGCGCAGAUAUCAGGAGGAACACCGGUGGCGAAGGCGGGUCUCUGGGCCGUAACUGACGCUGAGGAGCGAAAGCAUGGGGAGCGAACGGG
rnacentral:rRNA from 1 species